ACUCUAAUAGUUUAUACAAAACAUUGGUCUUGUAAACCAAAGACUGAAGAUUGCCUUCUUCUUAGAGUUUCCAUG
rnacentral:tRNA from 1 species